rnacentral:lncRNA from 1 species
UCAUGGAACAAUGGGGUCAUGGAAGAGUGGGAUCAUGGAACAAUGGGGUCAUGGAACAAUGGGGUCAUGGAACAAUGGGGUCAUGGAAAGGUGGGAUCAUGGAACACUGGGGUCAUGGAAGAGUGGGGUCAUGGAAGAGUGGGGUCAUGGAACGGUGGGGUCAUGGAACGGUGGGAUCGUGAAGAGUGGGAUCGUGAAGAGUGGGAUCGUGAAGAGUGGGGUCGUGGAAGAGUGGGAUAGUGGAAGAGUGGGAUCGUGGAAGAAUGGGGUCAUGGAAGAGUGGGGUCAUGGAAGGGUGGGAUCGUGGAAGAGUGGGAUCGUGGAAGAGUGGGGUCGUGGAAGAGUGGGGUCAUGGAAGGGUGGGGUCGUGGAAGGGUGGGGUCAUGGAACGGUGGGGUCAUGGAACGGUGGGGUCAUGGAACGGUGGGGUCAUGGAACGGUGGGGUCAUGGAAGAGUGGGGUCAUGGAAGAGUGGGGUCAUGGAAGAGUGGGGUCAUGGAAGAGUGGGGUCAUGGAAGAGUGGGGUCAUGGAACGGUGGGGUCAUGGAACGGUGGGGUCAUGGAACGGUGGGGUCAUGGAACGGUGGGGUCAUGGAAGAGUGGGAUCGUGAAGAGUGGGGUCGUGGAAGAGUGGGGUCGUGAAGAGUGGGGUCAUGGAAGAAUGGGGUCAUGGAAGAGUGGGGUCAUGGAAGGGUGGGGUCGUGGAAGAGUGGGGUCAGGGAAGGGAAGGACUGGGAUUGCAGAAUGAUGGAAUCACGGAGAUUAGGAUCGGGGAUUGGGUGGGAUGGCAGAAGGAUGGGAUGAAGGAAUGGGGGAAUCUUGGAAGAAUGGGGAUGGUGGAAGGAGGGGAUGGCGGGAGGAUGGAAAGACGGGAGGAUGGGAGGACAGAGGGACGGGAUGAUGGAAGGGUGGGAUGAUGGGAGGAUGGGAGGACAGAAGGACAGACGGAUGGGAUGAUAGGAGAGGAUGAUGAUGGAAAGACAGGAGGAUGGGAGGAUGGGAUGAAGGACAGGAGGACGGGAGGACAGAGGGAUGGGACGAUGGAAGGACAGAAGGACGGGAUGAUGGGGGGAUGGAUUGAUGGGAGGAUGGGAUGAAGGAAGGACAGAAGGACAGAAGGAUGGGAUGAUAGGAGAGGAUGAUGGAAGGACAGGAAGACGGGAUGAUGGGAGGACAGGAUGAUGAACGGACGGGAUGACGGAAGGACAGAAGGAAGGGAUGAAAGGAGGACGGAAAGACAGACUGAUGGGAGGACGGGAUGAUGUGAGGAUGGAAAGAUGGAAAGAAGGACAGAAGGAC